GUGCUCGCUUCGGCAGCACAUAGACUAAAACUGGAACGAUGCAGAGAAGAUUAGCAUGGCCCAUGCGCAAGGAUGAUACGCAAAUUCGUGAAGCGUUCCAUAUUUUA
rnacentral:snRNA from 1 species